UGGCCAUAUCACGUUGAAUACUGGUUCUCGUCCGAUCACCGAAGUUAAGCAAUGUCAACCAGGUCAGUAUCUAUAUGAGUGACCGCAUGGGAAUACCAGGUGCUA